rfam:Pteropus alecto contig166561, whole genome shotgun sequence.
GGUUCCAUAGUGUAGCGGUUAGCACGUCUGCUUUACACACAGAAGGUCCUGGGUUCGCGGCCCAGUGGAGCCA